UUUUUUUGGGGUUGUGGUGAUGGCGUGCCUAUUGAAAAAUGAGCCUGCGAGUUAGUGAUGCGUGGCGAGGUUAACCCUUUGUGGGGUAGUCGUAGCGAAAGCGAGUCUUAAUUGGGCGCCCAGUCGCGUGUUCUAGACCCGAAGCGGGGUGAUCUACCCAUGGCCAGGUUGAAGCGAUUGUAAAAGGUCGUGGAGGACCGUACCCACCUAGGUUGAAAACUGGGGGGAUGAGUUGUGGGUAGGGGUGAAAGGCUAAUCAAACUCCGUGAUAGCUGGUUCUCCCCGAAAUGCAUUUAGGUGCAGCGUUCUGCGUGUGUUGUUGUGGUGGUAGAGCUACUGGUUGGUUGAUGGGCCGUUUUGGUUACUGACGUCAGCUAAACUCCGAAUGCCAUUGAUAAUUGCAGGGCAGUGAGACUGCGGGGGAUAAGCUUCGUAGUCGAGAGGGAAACAGCCCAGAUCAUCGGUUAAGGCCCCUAAGGGUGUGCUGAGUGGGAAAGGAUGUGGAGUUGCAUAGACAACCAGGAGGUUGGCUUAGAAGCAGCCAUCCUUGAAAGAGUGCGUAAUAGCUCACUGGUCAAGUGAUUCCGCGCCGACAAUGUAGCGGGGCUUAAGCACACCGCCGAAACCGUGGCAAAAAAUGUUUUUGUUUUUUGGGUAGGGGAGCGUCCUGACUGGGGUGAAGCAGGCCUGUGAGGGUUUGUGGACUGGUUGGGAGUGAGAAUGCAGGCAUGAGUAGCGAGUGGUGGGUGAGAAUCCCACGCGCCGAUUGACUAAGGGUUCCAGGGCAAGGUUUAUCCGCCCUGGGUUAGUCGGGUCCUAAGGCGAGGCCGACAGGCGUAGUCGAUGGAUGACCAGUUGAUAUUCUGGUACCGGUUUUUUCUUGUCCAGUGCUGACAAAGUUGUGCUAACCAACGCCGUGAUGGUGGUGAUUCCUUCGGGUUUUAUCGCCUAGUGGUCUUGGGGUCCCUUCUUGGGUAGGCAAGCGUGUUAACAGGGGUGACGCAGUAGGGUAGCUGAUGCUGGCCGGUGGUUGUGCCAGUCUAAGGUUGUGGCCCGCAUGCUAGGUAAAUCCGGUGUGCUGUCUUUGAUGAUAAGGGUGAGGGCUGAUGGGACUGCCACUUAUAGUGGUGGUUAUUGGUGUGCCUGUGCUGUCUAGAAAAGCCUCGACGUUAGAGGAAAACCGCCCGUACCCUAAACCGACUCAGGUAGUUAGGUAGAGUAUACUAAGGCGUGCGAGUGAAUCAUGGUUAAGGAACUCGGCAAAAUGCCCCCGUAACUUCGGGAUAAGGGGGACCAGGCCCGGACAAGUACUAUUUUUCUGGUUUUUGUUUGGGUGUGGUCGCAGUGAUUUGGAAGAAGCGACUGUUUACUAAAAACAUAGGUGUGUGCGAAGCUGUAAGGCGAUGUAUACGCACUGACGCCUGCCCGGUGCUGGAAGGUUAAGCGGAAGGCUCAACCCCCUUGUGGGGUGAAGGUUUGAAGUUAAGCCCCAGUAAACGGCGGUGGUAACUAUAACCAUCCUAAGGUAGCGAAAUUCCUUGUCGGGUAAGUUCCGACCUGCACGAAUGGCGUAACGACUUCUUCGCUGUCUCGACCAUGAACUCGGUGAAAUUGCAUUACGAGUAAAGAUGCUCGUUUCGCGCAGCAGGACGGAAAGACCCCGGGACCUUUACUAUAGCUUGGUAUUGGUAGCCGGUUGUGUUUGUGUAGGAUAGGUGGGAGACUGUGAAGCCGCUACGCUAGUGGUGGUGGAGUCGUUGUUGAAAUACCACUCUGAUAUAAACGGUUAUCUAACCUUGGUCCGUGAUCCGGAUUGGGGACAGUGCCUGGUGGGUAGUUUAACUGGGGCGGUUGCCUCCUAAAUGGUAACGGAGGCGCUCAAAGGUCUUCUCAGCCUGGUUGGUAAUCAGGUGUUGAGUGUAAGUGUAGAAGAAGGCUUGACUGUGACACUGACGGGUGGAGCAGGUGCGAAAGCAGGAACUAGUGAUCCGGCCGUGGUUCGUGGAAACGCGGUCGCUCAACGGAUAAAAGGUACCCCGGGGAUAACAGGCUGAUCUUGCCCAAGAGUCCAUAUCGACGGCAUGGUUUGGCACCUCGAUGUCGGCUCGUCGCAUCCUGGGGCUGGAGUCGGUCCCAAGGGUUGGGCUGUUCGCCCAUUAAAGCGGUACGCGAGCUGGGUUUAGAACGUCGUGAGACAGUUCGGUCCCUAUCCGCUGCGCGCGUAGGAAACUUGAGAAGGCCUGUCCCUAGUACGAGAGGACCGGGACGGACAAGCCUCUGGUGUGCCAGUUGUACCGCCAGGUGCAUGGCUGGUUAGCUACGCUUGGGAAGGAUAACCGCUGAAAGCAUCUAAGCGGGAAGCCUGCUUCAAGACAAGGUUUCCAUCCCCCUCUUGG
rnacentral:rRNA from 1 species